CCCUCACUGAAAUAAGCAAAAUGCAGAUUCUGCUCAGGGUUUCAGCCAGCCAGUUAGCUGUGCCCUUUUCCAGGUACUCCAUUUCAUUUGAAUCCCACCAGGUUUUCCAUCCUCCCCACCCUGCCCCGCUUCCAGACAGCAUUUCCAGGCUUUAUUGGGAUAGUUGGGGUGGGAGUCACAUCCCCUUUAGGAUUGUUUCCUUACAUUUUCUUUUCUCCUAAUACCUCCCUCUUGUGCAUAGGUGGUGCCAUCUUGACUACGAAAGGAUCCACUCUCCAGGAAUUUGCUCCCGCAAGGUGUACUGGGGGCCACUGACUUGGAUGCAUUUAAAAGAGGAUUGGACACAUUCAUGGGAGAGAAGGCCAUCAUUGGGUGCCAACCAUGAUGGCUGUGCUCUGUCUCAACAGCUGGAGUCAGAAUACAUCUGAACACCAGUUGCUGGGAGUUGCACUCAGGUCCUUCCCAUGGAGUUCAUCCAGGGAAAGUAACUAGCUUUGCCUCUGCUGCUGUUCACCCUACUUUGUAUUCGUAGGACUAGGUCGUAUGAGUCUGGCAAGGUUGGACUGAAUCUUGUCUUAAGGCAGAGCCUCCGUGUCCCUAUUUUCCAGGGACAGUCUCAGAUUUACAGAAGCCAUCCCAGUUUCUUAUUUGAUCCCAGAAUGUCCCGCUUUUCCUUAUUUCCAUUGGAUAAAUGUUGGAGGGUGCGGAGUUAUGCAACCCCUAAGCCAAUGCUGUAAGUAACUAAACAACCUUUAGGAGAC